rnacentral:rRNA from 1 species
ANGCGNGGCUUANCAUGCAAGUCGCACGAGAACGCUUCAGCUUGCUGAAGUUAGUAAAGUGGCGCACGGGUGAGUAACGCGUGGGUAAUCUACCCUUGAAUUGGGGAUAACCCGCCGAAAGGCGGGCUAAUACCGAAUGACAUCUUGAGAACUUAUGUUUUCAGGAUCAAAGGUGGCCUCUACAUGUAAGCUAUUGUUUGGGGAUGAGCCCGCGUACCAUUAGCUUGUUGGUAGGGUAAUGGCCUACCAAGGCUACGAUGGUUAGCUGGUCUGAGAGGAUGAUCAGCCACACUGGAACUGACACACGGUCCAGACUCCUACGGGAGGCAGCAGUGAGGAAUUUUGCGCAAUGGGGGAAACCCUGACGCAGCAACGCCGCGUGAGUGAUGAAGGCUUUCGGGUCGUAAAGCUCUGUCAAGUGGGAAGAAAUCAUAUGGUGUUAAUACUGCCAUAUGUUGACGGUACCACUGAAGGAAGCACCGGCUAACUCCGUGCCAGCAGCCGCGGUAAUACGGGGGGUGCGAGCGUUAUUCGGAAUUACUGGGCGUAAAGAGCGCGUAGGCGGUCUUUUAAGUCAGGUGUGAAAGCCCGGGGCUCAACCCCGGAAGUGCACUUGAAACUAAGAGACUUGAGUAUGGGAGAGGGAAGUGGAAUUCCUGGUGUAGCGGUGAAAUGCGUAGAUAUCAGGAGGAACAUCGGUGGCGAAGGCGACUUCCUGGACCAAUACUGACGCUGAGGCGCGAAGGCGUGGGGAGCAAACAGGAUUAGAUACCCUGGUAGUCCACGCAGUAAACGGUGAACACUAGGUGUAGCGGGUAUUGACCCCCUGCUGUGCCGCAGCAAACGCAUU